GAACCGGCUGCGCAUCAACAAUUCACAAUGACACCUCGAACAAAAAUAACUACAAUUAAACUACAACAGGGAAGGAAAAACUCAACCCGGAGCCAACUUAACCCCCGGAUUUCAGUGCCUUCAAUUACCAGCACAAGUUUCUCGGAGUGACGAACCGCCCUAAGUGCAACGCGUGGCCGACUUUUCUGGUUCCCACGGGCCACUCACAGUCGAAUCCCCACAUCCUGACCUCAUCACGGGCGCUCGGUGUGUGCUCUAGCACACCAGGCAUCGGUAUAGUCGCUAACUAGCCGAAGAAAUUUUUCCUGCUAGUGCCGAACCACCCUUACCGAGCUCCCAUUUCCGUUUGUCAGAU